CAGUAGCCGCGGGAAAACGGAGGGGGCUAGCGUUGUUCGGAAUUACUGGGCGUAAAGCGCACGUAGGCGGCUUUGUAAGUCAGAGGUGAAAGCCCGGGGCUCAACCCCGGAAUUGCCUUUGAGACUGCAUCGCUUGAAUCCAGGAGAGGUGAGUGGAAUUCCGAGUGUAGAGGUGAAAUUCGUAGAUAUUCGGAAGAACACCAGUGGCGAAGGCGGCUCACUGGACGACUGUUGACGCUGAGGUACGAAAGCGUGGGGAGCAAACAGGAUUAGAUACCCCAGUAGUCCCUGUCUCUUAUAU
rnacentral:rRNA from 1 species